AAAACGUCCACCCUUUUACCCCCUCCCCCAAACAAACAAGAAAAACCCGAAUAGUCGCCCUUUUCACACUUCAUCAUCUUCCCCGUGUACGCGUGUGAUGAUACGCUGCCGCAUCUCGUGACGCGUGCGGUACCUGCGAGCCGCACACACACGCAGAGCAGCUUCGUUCGCGGCAUCGAAGUCAGUCAUGUGUGCAGCAAAGCACACCAUUCGAGAACUUCGCAACGUCGCGGAGAGCCCAUAUCGAGCACAGGUGCUCUCGUGGUACCGACGGUGCUUGCGUGCGGCCUUCACGGCGCCAUGGAGCUCCGACGAGGACGCUUUGUACGUCUUGGAGGAGACUCGGCGACUGUUCCACCAGAAUCAAGGUAUUCGCGAUUUGGAGCGCAUCGAGCGCAAGCUGCGUGAGGUUGAGAUGCGAUACGAGAUGGCGCUCCACUACAACAUUCCCUACCCGAGACCCUUCAACAAGAUGCAGGGCUCAAUGCAGGAGAGCGGGGUGCCGUACGCCGCUUACCUAGACUCUGCCUACGAUCACAUGGUCAACCCCCAUAUCGGCGUCAUCGCCGAAGGGAGCGCGAAUCUGGGGAUAAUGGGUGGGCUAGAAAAGUCUAGUCAAUACUUUGAGGACAGCACUGGGGAGGCUGACGUGGAUGGUCGAGCGAAUCCCUACGACACAGAGGCGGAGCCACCAUCCACUGUGCGCUGAUUUCGUCGGCGGCGCUGUGCCGCAUGUCGUGGAGUGUGCUGCGCUCCUUCUGGUCACGAUCACCCCUUUCCCCUCCAGUAUCGCCUUCACCCCGCUCGCUUCUCCUUUUUGCUUCACCCGCGUACAACUGCACUUACACAGGCAAAGCAGAGCUGUUCACUCCCCCCUCCCCCCUCCCGCUAGAACUGCACGUCGCGCCGCUAACGCACCUCUCUCCGUUUCCUAUGUGUUUCUCGCGCAGCUCUUGUGGAUGGGCUGCAGAAAGGCGACAAG
rnacentral:misc_RNA from 1 species